UCACUUUGGCUGAGGCCCUGACUAAUUUUGCUUGAAUCAUUAACCAGCCUUUGCUUGGUAACUAAUUUUGGCCUCUAACUGCUUUAGCAAGACCCUGCCACUGAGGAUAAAUGACAUCCUGUUGUUAUCUGUCCUCUGGGUAGCUGCUAAAUUCCCACAGCAGCUUUGGUUUGCAGUCUCUGUCAAAGGAUAGUGCUCCAGGCAUUGCAUGUGUCCCUGAUAGGAACAUGAAUAAUGAAUAUAAUUAGUGGCUGACCAGGCAGAGACACAUUAGGCCUGGGUGGCAGAAGCUUAAGUUGGGCCCUGGAAAUAUUUCUCCCUUUUUGGUCUAGUUUUUGGAUCAAGGUGGAGAGGAGGAGGGAGCAGGGAGGAGGGAGCAGGAGUGCUGAGGCAGGACUAACAGCUUUCUCCAGGUUUCCAGAAGACACAGAUUGAUGCUUUUAUGCACUUAACUUUGCCUCUGAUCAUUUGGUGUGUCUGUGCAAUGCAACCACAUGCAUGGCACUGUGAGGAGCUGCAGAAGAAAUACCUCCAGCGAAGGAAUGUUUGGGACCACAGAGGAGUGUGGUGUGUUUUGGCAGGGGUGCAGACAAGAUUUAUCCAGGAGAUGCAAGAAAGUUAAUUUAAACUUUCUGAUUAGCUGGAUUUUGUAGUUGGGCAAGCAGAUUUUUCUUGCCUUUGUUUUUUGGGGAAUUGUCUCCACUGUUGUGCAUUUGCCAGUAUCCAGGAGGCUUUUCAGAUGCAGAGUGACCAGGUGGAAAAGAGUUAGAGGUGCUAUCUUGACUACAAAGGCAGAUUCCAGCCUGAAGUGUUAACCAGAAAUGAUUGUACGUAUAGAUUUAUUAAAUGCUACAUCUGGGUGGCUGGACAACAUUGAGAUCCAUUCAUGUGAUGUGAAGUUUUAAUUCAGAUCCACCUCUAAAA